GACGAACGCUGGCGGCGUGCCUAAUACAUGCAAGUCGAACGAGAGCGACCGGUGCUUGCACUGGUCAAUCUAGUGGCGAACGGGUGAGUAACACGUGGGUAACCUGCCCAUCAGAGGGGGAUAACAUCCGGAAACGGAUGCUAAAACCGCAUAGGUCUUCGAGCCGCAUGGCUUGAAGAGGAAAAGAGGCGCAAGCUUCUGCUGAUGGAUGGACCCGCGGUGCAUUAGCUAGUUGGUGAGGUAACGGCUCACCAAGGCCGUGAUGCAUAGCCGACCGGAGAGGGUGAUCGGCCACAUUGGGACGGAGACACGGCCCAAACUCCUACGGGAGGCAGCAGUAGGGAAUCUGCCGCAAUGGACGCAAGUCUGACGGAGCAACGCCGCGUGAGUGAAGAAGGUUUUCGGAUCGUAAAACUCUGUUGUUAGAGAAGAACAAGUGCUAGAGUAACUGUUAGCGCCUUGACGGUAUCUAACCAGAAAGCCACGGCUAACUACGUG
rnacentral:rRNA from 1 species